AAAAGGACUCACCUGAAAGCUCCGGGUCCUUCGGCUAAGAGACGCCUUCCAGGAGUCACAUCCAUCAAUAGACGUCAAAUCCUCCUAUCUUCUUCCGUGUGGGCACACGGGGGUGGAAGGUUGGCUCCCAGUGGCUGCUUUAAAUGCACUGAGAAGGACUGGGCGAAGAGUGGGAGCGGGGAGAAGGAUGUCAGGGGUCUCUUAGCAGACACAUACCCAAUUGACCUCAUCCUCCGCCACAUCUCUGCUGCUCUCCACUGCCCUUGGCCAUCUUGGGCAGGAGCAGGUCCUCCCCGAGGAGCACAGGCUCAGCUUCAGCUGAACACCAUGAGGUAUUUGGGGUGGGCUCCCGAGACUGCUCACUGCAGCCCUUGCACGCAAGAAGGGCAGGGAAGCACACUGAGUGCACUCAAGGGGCCACCAAUCCGGACUCAUUACACCAAGCUCAGGCGGGCAGAAGGGUUCACAACCCACAUGUGCUUCUUCCUCUGCUGCGAGUGGACCCCUAACGCGCUGCAGAUGGGACACAUUCCAUGGAUUCGGGAGCUGCCUGAAGUUCAUGGGUUAAGAAGGAGCAUUCCCCCCUGCUGAGGGCUGAGAUGCAGGAGGCCAACCAGUCACCCAAGUUCACAAAUCAGGGUGCACAGCCAGUCUUUUGGAGGUGCAAGUCACUGAAAAGAACCACCUCAAGGAGCAAGGGCACAGUAGCCCUGGGGAGCUGGAUGGAGAAACAGCUUCCAGGCAGCAAUUCAAGCAUCUCUGGAGGGCACCUCUGAAACCAAGCACAUUGAGGAAGCAAGAAAAGCAGUUUCUGGGCUUGAAAGCAUAGCCAGCAAAGCCUCCAGAAACACCACUCCAAACCUUGGCUGUGCCAUGACAGACACGGAGUUCAGCACUCAUGCUGACAGGAUGCCCAGGGAAGGAGAUGUUCCCAAAGGAGUGACAAGCUGCAAGGCAGGUUUUGGGGACAGCUCUGUCCAUACACUCAUGCUGGCCCUCCAGCCACCCCAUCCACUCUUGAUGUGUCCAUCCCUCAGAGCCCCAGGACACAUCCCAACCUUCCCUUGUGAGGAGAAGGCCAGCAUAUUGUCAGAAAUCAGAACAAAAACUGUCUGACAGUUCCUAACAGAAAGCCAAGGUUUGCUGGGUUUGUUGCUCCUUCUCCUUUUGUCUAAGCAGGGCUAUCUCCAAGAUGAAAGAGGGAGGCACAGCCGAACCAAGUGGGUGUCCUACAACUGAGCCCUUUGGUCAUGCUGUUGUAUGAACAUACAUCCAUGCACCACUGAGGGCUGAGACCACAUGCUGGAAAGGAACUUACAGCAUGAGAGCAAAAUAUGCCACUGUGAGGGAGAAGAAACCUGGAGAGCGAGAACAGAUGGCAGAACCCGGGGGAUGGGAGUGAAGAGUGAGGCAGAGAGGAGACUGCUGCGGGCUACUGCUGCAGAAAGGCUCUGGUGGGGCUGACUGCAGAGCACAGCUGGCUCCUUAUUUAUCCAUCACAGUAUUUCAACCCUUCAACAACUCUUCAAGAGAAAGAAGAAGAAGAAGAAAAAGAAAACAGAGAGAAAACUCAGUUAGAAUGUGACUCAUGCAGAGCUACAGCAGCUCAGGGGAACUUGUCCAUUUAUAAUUAAUGAAGUCCUGUUUGCAAUGAUCUGACUGCGGCCUCCCCUCUCCUGGGGAGGCUGGGGCUGGCUUCUCUGCCUCCUCAUACCCGUGGCUGGAGCUGCACGUGGCAGGGAAAGGUGGCCUACAGACUGGACAGCCCCGGCCAGAAGCCCAUUCCAUCACACCUUCCUCAAAGGAGCGAGGCUGCUCAGGGCAUCUGCCCCAUGGGGCUUCAAGCAGAGCACACAGUCGGCGCCCUUCAGGGAGAGAGGAAUGGAAAGAAAGAGUGAGAGGAAGCUUUUCCAGAGGCAGGUUGUCACACACUGGACAGCCUGAGGAGAUCAGGAUCACGGGCUGCUACCCCUCAGCAGAAAGCUUCCCUUCUUGGUGGCUCAGACCACCCCAGGGGCAGUGCUUCCAAGGAGCCCGUGACCUGAAAGAAGGAAAAGACAGAUCCAAGCAAGGUAACACAGUGCUGUCGUUGGACAGAAGAAACAAGAUAGCGCCAGGAGCUCGUUCUGAGAACACCCUGCCAUACGGAACUUUUCUCAGCAGCACCGCAUUUUCUCAGCACAUCAGAAAGACCAGAUACAAACAAACAAGCCUGCAAUCAAGCUUUGAAUUCUACUGAGUGUUUGGGAUUGAAGUCACUUAAUUCCUGCGUCCGAUUUCAAAGUCGUUUUCCCAAAAAGCUGUGACUUUCAUUUCCUUUGAGGUUUUGGUCCUCCUUUACAGCACUCCACUGCUAAAGGCACGGGGAACUCAGCCUAGAAGUCCUUCAGCCCAGCAGCGUUGUGUUUCAGGAGAAAGCUGGUGGCAGUCCUGCAGACCCCGCCACGGAAGGAACCUGCAUGGCUGACGUCGUGUUUGUAUUUUCGCUUGAUUACUCUGUCAUCCCAAAAUGGCACUGGAUUUGAGGUGCUUUCCUUCCAGUGCAGGAGCUGGAAGAGCUGUGAUCUCAGUUUGUCACAACGCGGCGAUUCCAAGUGAAUGUUAAAAGUCUUAACAAUAAGUGAAUCUUAGAGAGCUGCGGAAAGUGGCAGCGAUAAGGCGGCGUGUGCUGGAGCUCAAGUAGUCAGUCACCAGGCAAUGACUGCUUCAUUUACACUUUACAGUCCCAUUGGGUAAUCAUUGGGAUUAGGCUGAGUACCCGGUUUCCCAGCUAUGACUUCACAGGCUGGGAAUCCAGCUCUCUGCUGACAUCAGAGCUAUGAGAGCCACCCUCACCAGCUGCCCGCUGUCACCCACCCGCACAGAGGUGUGGCACACGCUCGUGGAGCCACAGCUGGGCGCGGGCUCUCGCCAGAAAUAAACUCUCCUUCCUCAUUGUUUUAACAAGGAAAUAAACGUAGGGCUGGUGCACCCC
ensembl:lncRNA